ACCGAGAACCGUUGCAUGCAGCAAAGGGUUAAAACACCCGCCAUUUUAAUUUCGUCUAUAAAUACAUACGGUCACAAUGUCACAUUACAAUAAAAAAUCAGGAUUCAAGAAAAUGGCGUUGUUUCUUGCAAUCCAUCGUUUCUUCGUAACACUCCUACUGUUCGUUCCCCCAAACCCUUCGCAGUCUUCACAAUCUCCUUCUGCUUCAAACCCUACAACGCCGGUAGCAGUUGAUACUGCUCAGCACCACCAACAAGCCAUCGACGUUCCAGAUCUUGAAAAGUCUGUAGUAGAAGAGAAUCAACAAAUUCAACACCACCAAAAACUCGAACCAGAUCCUAAUCCCGUUGCUCCACAUAAUAAUGGUAAUAAUGACAACAAUGUUGCUGAGUUUCCAGCGAAAGUAAUCGGAUUUUGCUUUGCGUUGGCAGUUGCAGUUGCAGUUAACUGGCUCCAAAGUCCCGCCCCAAUCCCUUUGAGCUUCUACUUCCUCUCUCUCACCAUCGUCGUUGCAGUCACUCUGCUCUUUGUCUCAAACUACAUGAUUCCCAAAUCCCCAAAUCUAGACCUAGCCCAGGUGGUAGAGCGUGUGGGUGUCUUCUUUGGGGUCGCGGCCUUAAUUUUCGCCAUCACCAUACCUUCCCCACUCUACCUUAAACUAAUUCACUGGGCCAUCUUUCUUCUUCCUCUGCUUGCAAUUUUCGUCUUUAACCGCCGUUAACCAUGUUCUGAUAAGGCGUAUACCCAGUUUAUCUAUGUCUCAGCUUUUUGUAAACCAUUUGUACACUAUGGGUACUUCCAUAGUCGGGCGUCUACUGAAAUGGCAAAAAGGCAGCAAGGUAGUUCCCUCCGUACCACCGGAGGAGAAGCUAGCUGGAGAGGACCAGAUGAAAUGGAUGUAACCAGAGAAGCUAAAACUAGACCUUUAAUUUGAGAAUUUUAAGGAUCCCUAUACAGGGGCAUUGCCUUUGAGGUUGAUGAGAAAGCUACAUUUAAAAGUGCACACCUUGUGAAGUUGGUAAGCAAGUCAUCACUUUGCAUUCCUCUAUUUAUAUUAAAAUUACAAGAAUAUACUAUAAUAUGCUUAAAUCUUCGUAGCAGACAUGUCACUAAACCCUUUGUUGUUCGACUUCAUUUUUUUUUUUUUUUUUUUUCCCUUUGUUGGCACUCACACACACAUGCCUCUACUAAGGCUCGAACCUUGACCUUCCUUUGAGAAGUAGGGGUCUGGUACCGCUAGAUCACUGGCGUGUUGGUAAUGUUCGACUUCAUAUUGGAGUAUCAAACAUAGAUAAAAGGUUAAAUACUUGUGUAAUCAAGAUUUUCAUUGCUUAUGAAAGCAAUAUGAAAUAUCCUCUUUGCCUUGUACUAUCUGCUUUAGCUGGUGUUCUUUCUUUAUUAGUGCAUGUUAUUACAUAUGUUGUAUAUGAACUUACUGUUUAAAACUUCUCUCUCUUCCUUUUUCAUUAAAAGAUGUCACACCUAAUCUUCUGCUAACAUUUGAGUACUAACCUUAUAUCUUCAAGUUACUGCUAUCAUCCAUCGAAACAUUCUCAUUUCAUCAACAUAAAUAAGUUGUUCUCACUUCUCUUUUAAGGCCUAGCUUUCUUCUCAGUAUAAGAUAUCUGGUCUAACUUUUCUUGUAGAAUCUCGCAAAAAACUACUUGAUAUUUUCUUAUCAGAUAAGAUGAGACCAGUUUGUCUCACCUUUGUCCAACCUGUUGCAAUCCUACUUAUAGCAUCACCAUUACCCAUUUUGUAUUAUUAAUCCACCAAAAAUAAUUUGUUUGAAUAUUCCUCUGUUCUUGAAUUCUUAUCAUAUACUAUGUUUGGUGAUUGUUUUAUUUAAUAUUAGUGUUACUUGUACCACUUGUCUGAUCAUUGUGAUUUAAUAAAACCACUUCUGAACUUUAAAAAAUCCUAUGGUACUAAAUUUGGUAUUUUUUAUGAGUGUUUAUCUAUAAAGAAUUUAUUCAUUUUGCAACAUUGUUGAUGUCCUUGGCUAGAUAUAAGAUUUGGCCGAGUAAGUUGCUAUGUAAAGCAUCUCAGAUUAGAAAAAAACUAACUAAAAAUAAAUAAAAAAUUGGAAGAAAAAAGUGCAUUAGUCCGUUCUGAUCAUGGCAUGUUCCUAGGGAGGGAGGACCCGAAAAGCAUAAUUCAGUUUACUAGGGAUCUUAUUUGCAUAGCUCCAUGCAUGCAAUAGUUGAAGACAUUAUUUAAAUGAAUUAAGAAAGCACUUUUCAUUUCGUUUUUGGAUGCUUGAUUAGCUGCGCGAAAAACCUCUUCUUUUUUCCGGUUCUGCCUUCAACAACUAGUCUUCCCUUGCUCAUGCUCUUAUAGUAUGUUUUUGUACGUGUUUAUUAAUGCAAUGUACAUUUCUUUGAAAAUUUUGACGUGGAAUCUAAAAUUGUGCUUCAUGUGUGAUUUAUUUAUUUAUUUUAUGUUGUAAUCUUGUUCAUUUCCAUGAAUGACAAUGUGACUUGUUGAUUUAAUGAAAAUCAUUAAUAAAUCAAAUGGUAUCUCUCAAAUGUGAAACUUAUAUUGACUAUGCUUAUGUUCUUGUAAUUUUGUGCUUGAAGGAAAUGGGGGUAACCAGAGAAGCAAAAACUAUACCUUUAAUUAGAUAAUUUUAAGGAUUCCUAUUGUUUCUUGACAAUAUCUGCUAUUUUUUGCACCAUAUGUCGGGUUUUUUUAUUUUAUUUUUUAUUUUUUAUUUUUUUUUGUUUUUUGUUUUUUUUUUGUAUUGCGUUUAAUGACUUUGAUAAAUAAAUUCGCUUUAUCAUUCGCUACUUUCCUCACCAUCAUCCUUGUCUUGAUUUCACCAAAAUGGGGUUGACCACAUGAACUCUUAUAUUUCCGUUACAAUAUUUAGUUUCUUACAUUGUCUUUUAUAACUUUGUACCAAGUUAAUUUUGGUCUUCCUCUUUGUCUUGUACCAUCUAUUUUAGCUAGUGUUCUUUUUCUUACUUGUGCAUGUUAUUACCUAUGUUGUAUAUGACUGCGAUUUAAACCUUUUUUCUCUUCUUUUUUCAUUAAUAGAUGUCAGACCUGAUCUUUUGCUAACAUAUGGGCCAUAUGUCCUAUGUUUGUAUUUUACAGCUUAUGCUGAGUUGGGCCAAUUUCAUAUUGUCCCAGUUUUUCUGGCUAUUUAGCCUUCCUCCAUACAGGUUACUUUCAUUAAUAAAUUGCUUGAAUUUCCGAAAAAAAAAAAAUGCCCAGCAUUCUUCUCAGUAUGAGAUAACUGGUCUAAUAUUUUCUUGUAAAAUCUCGCUUUUAACUUGAUAUUUUCCUAUCAGAUAAGAUAAGACUUGCUUGUCUCCCCUUUGCCCAACUUGUUGCAAUCCUACUUAUUGCAUCAUCAUUUCCCAUUUUGUAUUAUUUAAUCCUAAACACUGAAAAUAUUUAGUUUGGAUACUCAUCUGAUCUCGAAUUGUUAUCAUUACAUAUCAUAAAUUUCUUCAUUCUUAAAUUUAUAAUGCACUACUUUAUGGUUUCAAUUUGUCCUUACAAAAGUUACACACACUGGAUCACAUUAUUCUGUUUGGUGAUUGUAUUAUUUAAUAAUGUGUUACUUGCACCACUUAUCUGAGUAAUUUGAUUUAAUAAACCAUCACUUAUCUGAGCAAUUUGAUUUAAUAAACCAUUUCCGAACUUUAGAAAAUCCUGCAAUAAUAAUUUUGGAUUUAUUUUUAUGAUAUUGUGCAUUUGCAAAGCAUUCCUUUGUUUUGUGACAUUAUUGAUGUACUUGUCUAGAUAAGAUUUGGCCAAGUAAAUCACUAUAUUGCUAUGUAAAGCAUCUCAGAUUAAAAAAAGGAAAACAAACGGAAGAAAAAAGGGCAUUACUCAGUUCUGAUCAUGGCAUGAUCCUAGGGAGGGAAGACCCAAAAUGCAUAUUCAAUAAUUCAGUUUACUAGGGAUCUUAUAUUGCAUAGCUCCAUACAUGCAAUUUCUGUAGGUGUUACCGUGUUAUUUAAAUCUGGAGAUAAAUUGCACCCUUGCACUUAUCUUUUGUAUGAUUUUAAUAUUGGUGGAGCUAUAGUUGUACCUUUAAGCACAAAGUUUACAAAUUGGUGAGGCAGAGUAGUUGGUGUUUUAUAUUCAAUGCUUUAAAAAAAUGUAUUAAUUAUAUAGUGCUAGGAAUACCUGCAAAUUGUGGUUUUGACUGCUACAUUAUAGUCUGCAAAUUGUACUUGUAUUAUAAUAAUUAUUAUUAUUUUGCUUUUUAAUUAUUUAGUUUUACAAAGUUUUGCCAAACGAAAGAAUUAAGGAACAGUGGGAAGCAUGGUUGGCAGUCUAGUUGACUUCCGUAUCUGGUGAAUGGUUUUUUUUGGUGUAGAAAGUCGAAGUCAGCAACCAGUUUUCUAGAUUAAUUAUUUUUUUCGGUAAAUAUUUUUCUAAAUUAAUUAUUGCUGGAGUCAUUUGUUUAAUUAUAAUUUUAUAAUCGUACUAGCCACAGCCACAUGUAGCUAAUAUUGUAGUUUGAGUAAGUGGUAAACAUCAUAUUUUUAUGGUGUUUUCUUGCUAGCUAAAAGAUAUUAAGUGAGAGCAGAUCACCAGUAGCAACUUUUUGUUUUCUUUUUAGGAGCAUGCAUUUCAGAUACAUGGAACACCUUUGUCCCUAAACAUUAUACUUACUGAGCAGACUCUUGUUAGCAAUCAAGUUCGUUGAAUGGACCCAUUUGAGAACAAUUGGAUGAUGACAAAAUUCAUGAAGGUUCUCCUGGCUUGAGGAUCUUGCAGUCUGUCCAUUGCAGUGGUUCAGGACUCGGGCUAGUUGGCCUAUUUUUGAUAGUCAAAAGGCCUGUUCAAUCUAUCUGAUGUAGGAAGGAGUUCAUCUCUUCGUACAUAGAUUUUCUUCUUAUUGCUUUCUUUAAUUUUCUUAUUAAGAGAAAAAUGGUAGGAUCGGAAGAGCAGAUAUAGUAAAUAAAGGGCUCGGACAUAGGUCAUAUCCACUUAAUUUUUAAUGCUUUUAGAUGCUCUGUUUCAAUAUAAUAAAUUUCCAUAAAUAUACGGACAUCCUGUGGAGUUUCAUGAGUGUUACUUCUCAUUAUCCAUAGCUGGUCUAAACUAAACCAGCUCUUGCAAAACGAGCGCCUUUACACAAUUUUAGCUAGGGUUUCCUCUAGCUGCUGCCACCACUUUAAUUUAACAUUCAUGCUAUUUUGGAUAAUUUAUUUCCUGGUAAUCUUUCUACCAUGUCUUUGUGGACAAAUAUUCUCAGUUAUGUUGUAUCUUUUGCACCAAGUAACACUUACUUUUUCUUCUUCUUCUUCUUUAUGAUUAUAGAUAUCCGUAAUGCAAUUUCUGGAUAUGGCACUCUCUUGCUCUUACUAUAUCAACUCAGUUAUGUUUAGAAUCAGGGUGUAUGAUCAACUGAUCGUCUUUGACUUCAUCAGUUUCUGUUCUCAACUGAUGUCCAGGCUCAAUUUGCAUACUAUCCAUAGCCAAAACCUUGAUCGAUCGACCAUUUGGUCAAGUUUUACUGUUUUGUAAAAAUCCCUGUUUUGAAAAUAAUUUUAGUAAAAACUCCCAUUUCGAUAUGUAGGAUUAAAACAAUUUUUUGAGCCUUCUAGAGAUCAUCCCUAGGUUAUAAAUUGGUCUCUGAGGUCUCAACUUAACAUAGAUAGGUGGUUGAGUCUUGAGGGAUUUCUAGUGUGUAUCAAAAUUUCAUAUCUACCUUGUCUUCAACAUGUACUCAAAAGUCUCAAACGGCUGAAGACACAUUGAUACAUUAUAACCCAAGUUUUGAGUAGGAAGUUGCAAACACAUAACGAAUGUGCCUAACAUAUAUGAAAAUUGAAAUUAAUUUACAGACGGUUGAGAUUAUGUAAGGCCCUCUAAGAGGCGGAGGUGCAUCCUAAGUUCUUAGAUUAGUCUAAACCACUUGGAAUUGUGACAAUGUGUUCUCACUUCUUGCUAGGCAUGGUCUGGGACCUACCUUGGGAGUGAUGAUACUGUUAUAUGGUCAUUUGGGCUGCUAUGCCGUAUUCAUGUGGUCUGGAACCAUCUAGGUGACUAGACAUUCAAACCCAACAAGAAGUCUGGAGUUUUCAAUGGUUUGAGACUGUGUUGUACACUUUGUUUAGAGUAUAGGAGUAUAUGUUCCAGUACUUGUGGCUUUGAGAGCGAGCCACUUUGAUUUAUUGGAGCCUGGACCCGGGGCUCAUGUAUAAUAAGUGAAAAUUUAGUAAAAGUUAAUCAAGAUGGUUAACUUACAGAUUUAUUAAGUUUAAGGGAAAUUGGCAUAACUUGUUUAGAAACAUAAUAAAGUCAAUCGAGAUAGUUAAGUAAUUAAUUGUUUGUAAUUGAGGAAACAACUUUAUGGAUUUGGAAAUUUAAUAUAAUAAUGAAUGAGAUAAAUCAUUUCAUGAGGCUUGUUCUGGUAAUUAUAGCAUUUAGAUGAGUUUAUAAGAAUUACGAGAUAUUAAUUAGAAUUGGUUAAUUAACUUAAUUGCUUUGUUUAUGCUACGAGCUAAGAAGCACGGAAACGGAUACGACACGACGUGGAUACAGCGACACGGCAAAUCCUAAAAAAUUAGGACACCGACACGGCGGGGACACUGUAAAUAAUAAAUAUUAUAUAUAUAUAUAUAUAUAUAUAUAUAUAUAUAUAUAUGUGUGUAUGAUGUUGUACUUUAAAAAAUUAAGAGUAAUAUUAGUUUUCACAACCUCAUAAUGAAAAAAAAUUGUGUUUUGCUGGGGAAAAAGAAAGAAUGAUAGAAAGAGGGGGAAAAAAAAAAACAAAGAAACGAAGAGGAUUAGGGUUUUGUUAGAAAAAGAAUUAGGCCUUAGAUAAAAAUAAAGGUAAGAAUCCAUAGAAUAGAAAAAAAAUCAUGGGGAA